rnacentral:rRNA from 1 species
CGCGCAGGCGGUCUUGUCCGUCAGGUGUGAAAGCUCGGGGCUCAACCCCGGAAGUGCACUUGAAACAGUAAGACUUGAAUACGGUAGAGGAGAGAGGAAUUCCUGGUGUAGAGGUGAAAUUCGUAGAUAUCAGGAGGAACACCGAUGGCGAAGGCAUCUCUCUGGGCCGAUAUUGACGCUGAGGCGCGAAGGCGUGGGUAGCGAACG